GAGCACGUAGGUGGGUUUGUAAGUCAGAUGUGAAAGCCUUCUGUUCAACGGAAGAAUUGCAUCUGAAACUACAAACCUUGAGUAUAGGAGGGGAGAAUGGAACUUCUGGUGGAGCGGUGAAAUGCGUAGAUAUCAGAAGGAACGCCGGCGGCGAAAGCGAUUCUCUGGCCUAUUACUGACACUCAGUGUGCGAAAGCUAGGGGAGCAAACGGGAUUAGAUACCCCGGUAGUCCUAGCCGUAAACGAUGGGCACUAAGUAGAGGGAAUUACCGAUGUUCUCUCUGCCGUAGCUAACGCAUUAAGUGCCCCGCCUGGGGAGUACGGCCGCAAGGCUAAGACUCAAAAGAAUUGACGGGGGCUCGCACAAGCGGUGGAGCAUGUGGCUUAAUUCGAUGCAACGCGAAAAACCUUACCGGGGCUUGACAUGAUAGAAGUAGGAACCUGAAAGGGGGACCAACGGUAUCCAGUCCGUAGCUAUUACAGGUGUUGCAUGGCUGUCGUCAGCUCGUGUCGUGAGACGUUGGGUUAAGUCCCCUAACGAACGAAACCCUUGUUUUUAGUUACCAGCGGGUUAUGCCGGGUACUCUAGAAAGACUGCCGUCGUCAAGACGGAGGAAGGUGGGGAUGACGUCAAGUCAUCAUGGCCCUUAUGCCCCGGGCUGCACACGUGCUACAAUGGUCGGUACAGACGGAAGCGAAGCCGAGAGGUGAAGCGAAUCC
rnacentral:rRNA from 1 species